GAACCCUCUACAGUGGCCCCAUUUCAGGAUCAGGGGAUUCAGCUUUCCAGCUGUACAGGGACAGGUGACAGCCUGGAUGUGGCCCAUGGGCCAGGUAGCGGGGCCCUGUUUGGAGCCGCUGUUGGGUGACCUGAGGCUGACAGACACAGGCCGGCCCGCUCCUCCUGCCCAGCGCCCCUGUCCCCAGGUGGGGACGGGCCUUGUCCCUCGCUCGCCGCUGCGAUGCCAAGUGCACGACUGUCCGGCCCGAGGAGAGCCGAGCACGCCCAGGUAAAGGGGUUCUGGGCUCCGGCCGACAGCGGGGUGCUGCGGGGGCCGAGGCUUGCCCGCAGGUGCGCCGACCCAGGGCUGCGAGCCGGGGAGGCUGUCACCUUCUUCAGACUCUCCAGUGGGUCCCUGGCCUCCGGGAGCCGAGAGCCGCCAUGCCCUGGGCUCCAAGUGCUCACACCUGCCCGGAGGCAGACCACGUCACCGGGCUGGACCCGCCUGUGACGAGUGUUCCCCUGCCCGCCGGAGCCCCCCAGCCUCGGGCAGCAGCCCCAGGCAGCCUCGGGCCACCCUUCCCUUUGGAGAAGCGCGAGCGCUCAGGGCUGGGCCUCUGCCCAGAGACCUGCCACCUGGUGCCCCACUGACCGGGCGGCAGGGACGCAGACGGUUUUGUCCCCUCUGUUUGGGAAGUGUUCCUCCGACAUAGGAGUACCAGUUCCAACACGUUCGCCGGCUGUGGAAGGGUGUUGGCC